GAUGACAGCUUUACUAGAUAUCCUGGGAGAUGAUGGACGGAUCGGGUUCAUAGGGAAUCUUACCGUGAACGUUGUCUCAUACCGAACGGGGUAUGAAGACUUGGUCAUUUGGCGUUCAUAUCGGACGAGGUAUGGGGACGAACGCUUCACCCUCAUACCAGACGGGGUAUGGGGACGCCCCUGGAAUUAAGAUUAUUUAAAGGGAAUGAUUCACGUGUAGCAGGGACCCCUAUGGAUCCCCAUGGAUACUAGUAGGCUGGCAAAAAACGAGAAACGGUGAUAGUCAAUUAUUGUCAAUGAAUUCGGGUUUAUGAUGUGUUUUAUAUUACUGAUUAUGCAUGAAAUUGUGAUCUGUAUGAUGUUAUUAUCUUUAUAGAUUGUUUUCACAGGUUCCCAAAGGGUAAGAAAAAUAGUAAGUAGUUUUAUUUUAAAUAACUGUAUUGGUUUAAAAU
rnacentral:lncRNA from 1 species